AUCUAUUUCAACUUUUUAAAGAUGCAAAUAUGUAUUAUUCUUAUUUAAUUUUUAACAAUUCCUUGCUGGAGCGACAGCUUUCUGAUUCUGAGUGUUUCCUGUUUUGACCUGUUGGACCUUCUGGCCGAGUCCAAAGACGCUAUCAGUGAAACAAAGAGCUGGUUGGAUGAUCUGUUCAGUUCAGUAACCAGCCCUGAUCCAUGACAUCAGUACUGUGGGUCAGGCUUCAGUAAUGAAUUAAUACACAAAGUUCACUGCCACUAGAUGUCACACUAGAGCACCAGAAUCUGGAAAACUUUUUUUCAGUUCAAAAUGUAUCCAAAUUGGUCGUUUUACACAAACUUCCUGCAGUUAUACCUGAGUUCCUUGUAGAGUUCAUCAGUUGUUCUCUACUGUUCAUGUUAUUGUUGAAUUUAAUAUGAAUUAAAACUGCAAGCAGUGAUGAUCGGGCCCUCGCAGUCCAUGUUGUUUUAAACUUCUGAUUUAACUGUAUUGUUGUUUUUUGUGGUGGAAAUGUCUCCCAAAAGAUGAAGAAUGUCAGGUUGUUUUUCAGGUUAAGUGUGAGUAAUAGCUCAGUUAAUAACAAUUACUCUGUAAUAUUGUUUAAUGUUAACAUACAUGGUGCAUUGGUGACAUUAUGUGAUUAUCGGAUAUCAAAAUGAAAAGAAGUAUAUACAAUAAAUAUAAAACAGUUACAAAAUGGUCUGAAUGUUGAAAUUUGUAAAGAAAUCACACACAUCUCAUGUAACUAUGUCCGCACCCAAAUCAUAAACUUAUACUACCUGGAAUGUCCCUGAACAAAAAACACUGCAAUAGUUUCAAGUGAAGAAUGUUUCCCUGCAACUUUUGACAACUUGUCAGUGAAACUUAAACCAAGUGUUUUUAUUUAAAGAAUGUCUUCUGUUUUUCUGGUAAAAUAGAUUUAUGAUUUCCAAUAAAUUAUAUCAGUGCAGGCAGCAGAGGCAGAGGGAUGCCGACAGGGACGUGUUGUGGAGAUACAGAUGACCAGGUGGAAAUGCCUCCCAAAAAGCUAAAGAUGAAGAACGUCAGGUUCUUUUUCAGCAAAAGUGUGAGUAACAGCUCAGUUAAUAACAAUUACUCUGUAAUGUUUUUUAAUGUUAACAUACAUUGGUGACAUUAUGUGAUUAUCGGAAAACAAAAUGAACAGAAGUGCAUACAAUGAAUAUAAAACAGUUACAAAAUGGUGUGAGUGUUGAAUAGUGUUACCAUUACAGUGAUUAUUGUAUCACGUAAAAAGGAAGUCACACACACACACCAUGUAACUAUGUCCGCAUACAUAUCCUCGACUUACACUACCUGGAAUGUCGCUGAACAAGAAACACAACUUUUGACAAAUUGUCAGUGAAACUACAUCCAACCAGCUCUGUAAUCAAUGAUUAAACCUUCAAAAUCUUUGACAUCUGUAGCCUUGAUGUUUACUUAACUAAGUUCCACAGCCUGUCCAACUGGUUCCUUUGUUUGUGAAUGUCAUGCAUUAUUUUAUUUUAUUGAUUUAUUUAGGAGAAUCCAGGCAGCAGCAGCUCGGCCACCCCAGAGAAUUCACAGCCUGAUGCCUCUCAAGUGAGCUCUUAAUGUUUGACUGUUGUUGUCAGCCAGUGAUAUUUGAU
rnacentral:lncRNA from 15 species